rnacentral:tRNA from 1 species
AGCAGCAUGGUCUAGUGGAUAGAACACAGGACUGGAAAUCCGAAGGAUCUGGGUUCUAAUCCCAACUCUGUUA